rnacentral:lncRNA from 1 species
GCGUUUCCUUUCAGAUCUGGGUUUACGGGAAACAACGAGAAAGAUGCUGGUAGGAAUUUGAUAGUAUCUCAUAUGUAAAUGUAUAAGGAAGACAUUAAUAUUUGGAGCUAUGAUAAUUAGCUAUGUAUUCAUGAAGCCGAUUUUAUUGCGGUUUCCUGUUCUCAGUUUGUGCAGAUCUAAUUCGUAAGUGUGAGAAAAUCUAUUGAAAUAUUUCGGCUAGCCUUUAGCAUAACAAGGAGUGGGCCUGACUGUGAUUUUUAUGGAAUUUAUCAUCUUAGUUCAUCUACCUACAAAGUCUUUUUUCAAAUAUGACCGGCUAUUCUUAUUUGACCAC